rnacentral:rRNA from 1 species
CAACCUGCCUAUAACUAGGGAAUAACCUUGCGAAAGUAAGACUAAUACCCUAUGAUUUCCUUUGAUGGCAUCAGAUUAGGAAUAAAGAUUUAUCGGUUAUAGAUGGGGAUGCGUCUGAUUAGCUUGUUGGCGGGGUAACGGCCCACCAAGGCAACGAUCAGUAGGGGUUCUGAGAGGAAGGUCCCCCACAUUGGAACUGAGACACGGUCCAAACUCCUACGGGAGGCAGCAGUGAGGAAUAUUGGUCAAUGGGCGGAAGCCUGAACCAGCCAAGUAGCGUGCAGGAUGACGGCCCUAUGGGUUGUAACCUGCUUUUAAACAGGAAUAAAGUUAGCCACGUGUGGUUAUUUGUAGGUACUGUAUGAAUAAGGACCGGCUAAUUCCGUGCCAGCAGCCGCGGUAAUACGGAAGGUCCAGGCGUUAUCCGGAUUUAUUGGGUAUAAAGGGAGCGUAGGCCGUCUGUUAAGCGUGUUGUGAAAUGUAGAUGCUCAACAUCUGAAUUGCAGCGCGAACUGGCAGACUUGAGUGUGCGCAGCGUANGCGGAAUUCGUGGUGUAGCGGUGAAAUGCUUAGAUAUCACGAAGAACUCCGAUUG